UACCUGCGGAGGGAUCAUUACACAACAAAAUAUGAAGGCCUGGCUUCGCGGCCGGCUGAAAUAUUUUUUUCACCCAUGUCUUUUGCGCACUUGUUGUUUCCUGGGCGGGUUCGCCCGCCACCAGGACCAAACCAUAAACCUUUUUUUUAUGCAGUUGCAAUCAGCGUCAGUAAAAACAAUGUAAUUAUUACAACUUUCAACAACGGAUCUCUUGGUUCUGGCAUCGAUGAAGAACGCAGCGAAAUGCGAUACGUAGUGUGAAUUGCAGAAUUCAGUGAAUCAUCGAAUCUUUGAACGCACAUUGCGCCCUUUGGUAUUCCAAAGGGCAUGCCUGUUCGAGCGUCAUUUGUACCUUCAAGCUUUGCUUGGUGUUGGGCGUUUUUUGUCUCCCUCUUUCUGGGAGACUCGCCUUAAAACGAUUGGCAGCCGGCCUACUGGUUUCGGAGCGCAGCACAUAUUUUGCGCUUUGUAUCAGGAGAAAAGGACGGUAAUCCAUCAAGACUCUACAUUUUUAACUUUUGACCUCGGAUCAGGUAGGGAUACCCGCUGAACUUAAGCAUAUCAAAA
rnacentral:rRNA from 1 species